rnacentral:rRNA from 1 species
CCUACGGGUGGCAGCAGUGGGGAAUAUUGCGCAAUGGGCGAAAGCCUGACGCAGCGACGCCGCGUGAGGGAUGAAGGUCUUCGGAUCGUAAACCUCUGUCAGCAGGGAAGAACGGUCACUGUGCUAAUCAGCAGUGAAUUGACGGUACCUGAAAAGGAAGCACCGGCUAACUCCGUGCCAGCCGCCGCGGUAAUACGGAGGGUGCGCGCGUUAAUCGGACGUACUGGGCGUAAAGCGCUCGUAGGCGGUAUGUCAAGUCAAGGGUGAAAUCCCCGCGCUCAACGUGGGAACUGCCUUUGAAACUGGCAAAGUGGAGUGUGUGAGAGGAUAGUGGAAUUCCAGGUGUAGGAGGGAAAUCCGUAGAUAUCUGGAGGAACAGCAGUGGCGAAGGCGACUAUCUGGCACAUAACUGACGCUGAGGAGCGAAAGCGUGGGUAGCAAACAGGAUUAGAUACCCCGGUAGUC